GUGCCAGCCGCCGCGGUAAUACCGGCAGCCCAAGUGAUGGCCGAUAUUAUUGGGCCUAAAGCGUCCGUAGCUGGCCGGACAAGUCCGUUGGGAAAUCUGCGCGCUCAACGUGCAGGCGUCCAGCGGAAACUGUCCGGCUUGGGGCCGGAGGACUCGAGGGGUACGUCUGGGGUAGGAGUGAAAUCCCGUAAUCCUGGACGGACCACCGGUGGCGAAAGCGCCUCGAGAGGACGGACCCGACAGUGAGGGACGAAAGCCAGGGUCUCGAACCGGAUUAGAAACCCCAGUAGUCC
rnacentral:rRNA from 1 species